CACUUCUGCUAUACUGGGCUGAAAGCACCUGAUCUCCUCUAAACUUGGAGGCUAAGCAGACCAGGGCCUGUAAGUAGCUGGAUGGG
rnacentral:rRNA from 14 species